rnacentral:rRNA from 1 species
GACGAACGCUGGCGGCGUGCUUAACACAUGCAAGUCGAACGGAAAGGCCCUGCUUUUGUGGGGUGCUCGAGUGGCGAACGGGUGAGUAACACGUGAGUAACCUGCCCUUGACUUUGGGAUAACUUCAGGAAACUGGGGCUAAUACCGGAUAGGAGCUCCUGCUGCAUGGUGGGGGUUGGAAAGUUUCGGCGGUUGGGGAUGGACUCGCGGCUUAGCGGCUUGUUGGUGGGGUAGUGGCUUACCAAGGCUUUGACGGGUAGCCGGCCUGAGAGGGUGACCGGCCACAGUGGGACUGAGAUACGGCCCAGACUCCUACGGGAGGCAGCGGUGGGGAAUAUUGCACAAUGGGCGGAAGCCUGAUGCAGCAACGCCGCGUGCGGGAUGACGGCCUUCGGGUUGUAAACCGCUUUCGCCUGUGACGAAGCGUGAGUGACGGUAAUGGGUAAAGAAGCACCGGCUAACUACGUG